rnacentral:lncRNA from 10 species
GGAUGGAUUUGUGGGUGUUGGGAAGCAGAGAGGUAGAAAGAUGAACAGCAAAUGGAUUGUGCAUGAUGUUUGGAUGAUUUGAUGAUGGGGAGAUGAGUUUCUGGGAGGGUGGUGAAUUGGUCAUUAGGGGAUUACUGGUGGAGAGAUGGAUGGUGUGCCUUGUGGAUUGGGGAGACACUGGUUGUAGCUGAUGGAAGGGGGAGAAUGGUGGAUGGUUACACUGGGUUCCAAUGGCAGGAUGGUGGAUGAGUGACUAGGGAAGGGUGCAGGAAGGAUGGUGGAGGUGGGUAUGUAGGCAGAGGACUGAAGGUGAAAGGGAAACUACUCAGUCUUGGAGACUUCCAGGGCCUUCCACCCUCCAGGCCAUCCUGCUGUUUCCUGCACCCCCACCCCUCAUCUGCAGACUCUGCCAUGAGCACCCCUUUGCUUGGCCUGGUAUUUGCUUCUUUCAUGAGUGAUAUGCUGCAUCCGGGGAGGAAGGAGCCGCCACUGGGGGGAGCUCUGCCUCUUUUUGUGUCCCGGGUGGGCGCCUUGCCUCGACAUCUCUGAUGCCACCAGCAUUGCCCCUUACCUUGGAGGGAUCGCCUUGAGCAGAGGUCCCUGCGCUCAGUGGCUCUGUGGUGCUGGCCCAGCCUAGGACGGGGAGGGUGGGUCCUCACGGUCCUGGAGUUUGGCUGCCCCUUGCUGGACUCACAUGUCCUCAACCAGGAACAAACAGGAUACUUGGGGGUCACAACUGUUUUGCCCCUUGUCUUGCUUCUCAGUGGGAAGGAGGCAGUUUGACUGACAGGGCUGCGUUGGGCUUCACCCCUGAGUGUCUGGCUCUGCCCCCCAUCCCCACCGCCACCAUAAAUGCAGAGGGCCAGGUGAGGCUCAGCAAACUUCACCCCUGGUGCUCAGGGCCACAGCCAGGACUGAAAGGGCCCAGAGGCUGGGGCUCCCUCUCCUGAUGGUGGGGCCUCAGGGGAGUCCAGAGUGCUGGACGGCCAGGACUUGGGGCAGCAAUGGAGCCUCUUUGACUACUGCUGCUCCACCUGGGCAGGCCAUUCCUAGAUUGUGCUGUGUGGAGAGGGUAGUGAGGCAGCAGAUAGGCACCAGGGCGCUGGGCAGACAAGCGGUACCAGAACCACUCACAUGCAAAGAUGUGAGCUGAGGAAUGGCUGCGACCGCACUGCAGGUGCCAUGUGUGCACAGAAAGCCCUUGAGCAUAUGCACAGGUGCCCCCGGCCCUCAGGCACACAUGAGGGCACAAACUUGCAAAUGGCUCAGAACCUCAGCAGGGACGUGGAGAAAUGCAAAGCCCCGGAGUUUCCUCCAGUAAGAAGAACCUCUCACGGCCCAACUGCUUCAGCGCAGGCUUCAGCAUCUAGAGGCUGUCUCAGUCUCUUGGUCCCUGUGUCUGUCUCCGCUAUGGCUGGCGGCCCUCCUGUGUUGGUUUCCGUGUGCACGGCCUUCUCCACGUGGCAGGGAAGGUGUCUUGGGAGAGUGAGACUCACCACCUCCUUGACCAGGCCAUGGCAGGAGGGUCUCAGUGAGGUCUCUGAUUGGUUCCUGUCUCCAACUCUGCACCAGUUCCUGUAGCCUGAGGUUGCUGUGCUCUGACUGGCCACGCUGGCUCACAGCCUCCCCUGAGGUGUGGAGGCAGCAAGAGUGACAGCCCUGCCUCCUGCACAUGGCAGGGCCAGGGAAAAGGUGGGGUGGGCCUGGGACAUCAGCAAGACAGGGAAAGAGCCCGCCAAGGCCUUGAGACGGGAACAUGAGGGAUGCUUCGAGGGAGCCAAGAACACCCGGUGCAGUGGCUCAUGCCUGUGGUCCCGGCGCCGCAGAGGCUGAGGAAGAAUUGCUUGAGCCCAGGAGGUUGAAGCUGCAGUGAACUGCGAUUACCCCAGCCUGGGCCUCAGAGCAAGACCUCAGGUUUUUGGGGUUUUUUGUUUUUGUUUUUAAAGGAAGGUGGCUGGGCACAGUGGCUCACACCUG